rnacentral:rRNA from 1 species
AGCAUGCCUAAUACAUGCAAGUCGAACGAUGACGUCACUGCUUGCAGUGAUUGAUUAGUGGCGAACGGGUGAGUAACACGUGAGGAACUUGCCCAUGAGCGGGGGACAACAUUCGGAAACGGAUGCUAAUACCCCAUAGGUGGAUUGGUCGCAUGACUAAUUCAUUAAAGGUGGCUCUGCUACCACUCAUGGAUAGCCUCGCGGCGUAUUAGCUAGUUGGUAAGGUAAUGGCUUACCAAGGCAGUGAUACGUAGCCGACUUGAGAGGGUGAUCGGCCACACUGGGACUGAGACACGGCCCAGACUCCUACGGGAGGCAGCAGUAGGGAAUCUUCCACAAUGGGUGCAAACCUGAUGGAGCAAUGCCGCGUGAGUGAAGAAGGUCUUCGGAUCGUAAAGCUCUGUUGUUAGAGAAGAACACGUGCUAGGUAACUACUAGCGCCCUGACGGUAUCUAACCAGAAAGUCACGGCUAACUACGUGCCAGCAGCCGCGGUAAUACGUAGGUGACAAGCGUUGUCCGGAUUUAUUGGGCGUAAAGGGAGCGCAGGCGGUCUGUUUAGUCUAAUGUGAAAGCCCACGGCUUAACCGUGGAACGGCAUUGGAAACUGACAGACUUGAAUGUAGAAGAGGAAAAUGGAAUUCCAAGUGUAGCGGUGGAAUGCGUAGAUAUUUGGAGGAACACCAGUGGCGAAGGCGAUUUUCUGGUCUAACA